CCAUGAUCGUAACUCUGAAAAACAGCAAUAAGUCACGUUUUUCGGUGCCACUGUAACUUUGGUCACUAAAUGAAUUGUUGGGAGUCAAGGAGAAGUAAGAGUUGCAGACUAGAUUGGAAGGGCGACAACCCCGAAGAACGAUGAAAAAGAAAGUUUCAUGGAAGUGUCUCUAAUGAAGUUACACAUAAUCAAGCUCAUUUGGAAGGAGACAUUGCUUUCCAUUUGGGGCUACUGAAAAAAAAAGACUCCACUAGAGAGCUGUCUCUUGGCUUGUCCCCUAGCUGUAAAAGACAAAGGUCUCCUUGGUCAGUGUUGGAACUGUCAGGAGUAUCCUUAUCUGAGAUGGAUGGCAGCCCUGACCCUCUCUAAAACCUUUCCUCAGAAAUUGAAGCCUCUGCAUCCUAAAAUUGUGUUUUUAUUCUGCCCUCUAUUGCUAUAUAGUGGCUUUAUUGGAGGAGAAAAGUUUUGAAAUCCUAUGAGGGCUCCCUUUCCCAUCAGUUGUAAUUUUGUUUGACUUUAGGAUUAAUAUUAACAGAUUUUUUUUUUCUCAAGUUCUGGAGUAAGAUUCAGCAGUGAAGGAAAGGAACUUGACUAAAAGUGACAAUCAUUAAUUUAUGCAGAAAAAGCAGGCCUAAAGGUUCAAGCCAUUAUCAGUAUUGUAACCGUAUAGUACUCAAACAGGUUUGAGUACUAUACGGUCCCUAUCCUGUACAAGAAUACUAAAUUAUCAGCAUACAGGAACUGGCAAUUAUGAAGCAGACAUGAAACCUCUAAGCUGGGCUACCAUUUUGCAAAAUACAUCUGUUGUACUAGGAAUUUUUGGUGUAAAUGGAGACCAGGUUAGAAGAAAAUCAUCUGACUUCAAAACUCACUUAAACAAAUUUCUCACUUAGCAACAUAAAUUUUGGGGUCAGUUGUAGUCGUAGGUUGAGGACUAUAUGUAUUUCUACCCAAUUCUCUACCCCACUUCUUCUAUUUGUAAAGGUAACUAUGCAAAUAGAUCUAUUUCUAAUCUGUAUCAUGAAUCUAACCUUAAAUCUAUUUCACUACCAAUAAUGUUUUCCCCUUAAAUAUGACCCAUCAUUUUGCUACACCUAAUGUUCAACGAUAUGCUCUCCAGAGUGAAAGUAGCAUUGCUCUCCAGAGUGAAAGUAGCAUUUUUAAUUUGGAGAAAAAGGGAGAUACGAGGACUCAGUUUUAAAGAAAUAGAAAAAUCUUAUGAGACAGGCUACAUAUAGUGAUAGUAGGAUUCUUAAACAUAUUUUUUUGCUAACACAACUGUAAUCUCAUAAUUGAAGUCCUUUGGGGUUACCUGAAUAAGGGAAUCAUUCUGAUUUAUCUCCCCCCCUCCAACCAAACACAUGAUGCUGUGGUAGUGCGGACAGAAUGCCUGAAGGCUGUAAGAGUCUGGAUGAGGAAGUACCAGCUUCUAUUCAUCCAUGGCAAGGUGGAGUGGCUACGGGAUUUGUCGUCCAGACCCAGGUGCAAUUCAAGGUGGUCUUCCCCUUUAAUGCUCUAUAUGUCACAGGGCCAGGUUAUAUGAAGGCAUCUACAGGACAUUGGCCCGUCCUACUUGGUCAGACAGGGUGAGUAUGCUUUCGUUUCCUUCCCCUAAAUAUUGUUAUCUGGUGGGAGCUAGCAAGCAUGACUUUUCUGGGACAGCCAACUGCCCUAUGGAACACUGUGCACCAUAGAAGUUAGGCAAGCCUCUACCCUCCAGACCUUGCGUAAAGUUUUGAAGACCUGUUUUUUUCUUCCCCCAAGUGCUAGGGUAUUAUUAGGUGACUGCACAUCAUGAGCUUCACUUGGUGCCAGGUUUUUGUUGGUUUUUAAUGUCUUGGUUUUAUAGUUUUAAUGUGGUUUUGCAUAUUGUCUACUUUUGAUUGGAAGCCAUUCAGAACGGGUUACAAGAUGAACGGCUAUAAAAAAAGUUUUAAAUAAUUAAAAGGAAAAUGGAUACAAUGAAAAUGGAUCCUAAGAACAUUCUCAAAAUAUUGAGAUUAACAAAGAUUGAGAUCAUUAAAUUUACGGCUGUUGAAUUAUUUUCUCCCCAGACUUUUUGAAAAGGAUUCAAUAUAGGUAAUUUGUCUUUACUUUCAAUUCGGCAGUCCAGUUUGUUAAGCAAAUAAUUAUAUUUUUAGCAAAGCUGCAUGUAAAUGUUACAAAGCAACAUUUUAUGGUUUAUAAAAUGUAAUUUUAUUUAAUGUUAUUUUGUUACAUAGGGCAUUAACAUUUUCACAAGGCUUUUUUGGGACUACAAUCAAUGAUUAGCAACACACAAUAGUGGUCCAUCUACCUACAGAACAAAUCACUGGACGAACUUGACACCUUCAUACAUGUGCACAAAUCUGCAUGGAAAAGUUUUAUACUUGGACAUGUGACCACUUUCCCCAUUCCAGUGUUAAGAAAUGACAUGCAAUUUAGUCUGCCAAAAAGGCACUCCCUGUUUUCUGGCAGUAACAUGCUGCUUCUAAGACAUAAUCAAGUGAAUACCAGAACUACAAAGGCAGGAGUGUGAUAUUUUAUUGGGAGGGGAUAGCAAUUGGACAGCAGCAACUGAAGAGUAAGAAGAGUCCCUGUAUUUAAACACUCAAUAGCUCCUGCUGUACACAUAUGUAGGAAGCCACACUACUAUGCUUUCUAUGUAGCCCAAUACUCCCAUUUCCUACAGAAAGGAAUUAACAAUAGCAUG